GCAUUGGUGACUCAAGGGUAGAAUUCUCGGCUUCCAUGCACGAGGCCCAGGUUUGAUUCCUGGCCAACGCA
rnacentral:tRNA from 1 species